UACGGGGGGGGCAAGCGUUGUUCGGAAUUACUGGGCGUAAAGGGCUCGUAGGUGGCCAACUAAGUCAGACGUGAAAUCCCCAGGCUUAACCUGGGAACUGCGUCUGAUACUGGAUGGCUUGAAUUCGGGAGAGGGAUGCAGAAUUCCAGGUGUAGCGGUGAAAUGCGUAGAUAUCUGGAGGAAUACCGGUGGCGAAGGCGGCAUCCUGGACCGAAACUGACGCUGAGGCGCGAAAGCUAGGGGAGCAAACGGG
rnacentral:rRNA from 1 species